rnacentral:lncRNA from 1 species
CCAUCCUGGCUUGGAUGUCAGUAAUUAGUCAGGGCUACCUUUGAACUCAUAGGUCUCGUGUUUCAUCCUUCUGAGUUCAAGACCAACAGUAGAUGAUGUACUCCUGAUGUGUGCUCCUUUAUAGACAUGUUUUAACAAUGUUAAUAUUAACAUGGUUAAUAGAAGAUAAGAAAAUACUUCAUGUGUCUAUCCCAAGAAGUGUUUACAUCUGUCUGGUGGAGAUAUAAUAAAAUAGAAUGAUCAGCAAUCAUCUGUUUAUCUCAUAACAAAACUUGUUGUAUUAUGGAUAUGUAUAUAGUUUUUAACAUUCCUGCUUCUUCAUGAUCCAGUUUUUAUCCAUUUGGCACUCAUCUUGAAGUAUUUCCUCCUAAAGGAAUUAUCUACAGAUGCCAGCCCUGUUCACAUGUGAUCAAGGUCAGGUUUCCAGUCUUGCACACAACAUCACAUCGUUUAUUCUGGGGGAGUAAACACUUGUGUACCAGCACCGAUGUCCCCAGGAGCCAGGGAGAUGAAAUGCCAACUCAAGGGAUGAUUCGAUGAGCCACCACAUCUGCUGUUCCCAUUGUAGAAAACUUGUCAAGGCAGUGAAGGAACCUCUCACAUUUGAUUGUAACUGCAAGACCAAACAAGGAAAAUGGGUGCAUGACAAGGACAGGGCCCUGAAACCAUUACUACAGCGACUCCAUCAAAGACCUCAGCAAUGAAGAAAAGUGACUAGAAAAGGUAAGGUAACGAAAAAGG